UUUUGGACAAUGGGCGCAAGCCUGAUCCAGCCAUUCCGCGUGAGUGAAGAAGGCCUUCGGGUUGUAAAGCUCUUUCGCAAGGGAAGAAAGAUUACGCUCUAACAUAGCGUGAUUAUGACGGUACCUUGAUAAGAAGCACCGGCUAACUACGUGCCAGCAGCCGCGGUAAUACGUAGGGUGCGAGCGUUAAUCGGAAUUACUGGGCGUAAAGCGUGCGCAGGCUGUUUUGUAAGUCAGAUGUGAAAUCCCCGAGCUCAACUUGGAACUGCGUUUAAACUACAAGACUAGAGAUGUCAGAGGGGGGAGAUUCCACGCGAGCAGUAAAUGCGAGAAUGUGAGAAUUCAAUGGCAAGGAGCCCCCUGGGAAUUAGCGUAGUGCAAAUCG
rnacentral:rRNA from 1 species